AUACGUAGAUAAGUUUGCACAUUCAAAUUGGGUAAAAACUGGGUUGUUCUUCUAAGGAAGGUCCAGAACUUCCAAAUUCAGAUUCUCAAAACUGAGUCACUUGGCCCUGUGUUCAUAACAUAUCAACCUAAGUAGGUUUAUUUGCCUCGAAUAUUUUUGUACUUUUUGUUCUUAGUCUUCUAAGGCUUAUCUUCAGUGAUGAUUACAUUUCUUCUGUGUGAUGAGAUCCUCCCAGUACCUCCCAUAUAUGUGAGUGUGGUGUUCAGAGAUGUGGAGCAGUCACAGAAGACAGUGAGCAAAGCAUUUCUUCCUUCGUGAGUUUGCUGACCUCCUCCUGCCAUACACGUUGGGGAGUGUUGUAAGGAACUGUUUAAGGAAAGGAGAAGAACAAACACUCCACGUAAUUUGAGCUGUCACCCAGCAAUCGUCCUGCACAGAAGCUGAAGGAAUGUGACAUUCUGGUAGUCAUGGGCCUUGACGGUGAACUCGGACCCGGAGAGACCUCUCCAAGAAUACGCUUAAUCAGUGCUCCUCCUGAGAGUUUUGACAUUCUCAUUUGCCCUGUUGCUUAUGCCUCUCUAAAUUAGAAGAUAAACUCCUACUGAAGUUGGAGUAACUUCAUCACCGUUACGUGGGAAUAGAAUUAGGCUUGUGACUUUUGAUUUAAAAAUAAAUAAAAAUGUGAAAGCUUUUUGCUCUGUGAUUCCUGGUGAAACCAAUGGAAAAUCUGGGGGUUUAGUCAGGACAGGGACUUCAGGAGGAGACCUUCUAGAGGACUCUGUGAGCAUCCUUACUCCACCACUGACCUUGUUAAGCAUUUUGCAAGUGGAUGCUGGCCUGCUGUCUACUGCAGACCUCACUUUACUUACUUCUGGAAACUUACAAUUUUGUAAUAUCUUGCAAUGAAGAAGUAUGUAGAGGUUGUGUUAAUGACAAUAUAUGCAAAUAUGCAGUGUUUUUUGUGAUGGUCACAUGUGAAAUAUCUGUUUACACUUGAGAACUACAGCUCUGGAUACAAAGCUAUAUAGUUUGAGGUCUUUGGUUUCAUCUGUUGUGCUACUGAGUUCAUGUACUCUUGGCUAGAUGUUCUGUGCUUUCUACUGCUGGGCUCUUUUUGGAAUUGCUUGUAGCUACGUAGAGUAAAUAUAAGCAGGCUUAAAAUGGAAAAAAAAAAAGUAAAAAUAUCACUCACUUAGCACUGUUGGAAAAUAACACAAGGUACAACAAUAACACAAAAAUAAUUUGACCCCUGAUUUCUCUUGGAGCAUAAAUUCAGAAACCUGUACCAUCUGCUGCUUUGUUCUUUGUGUAGGAACUUUAGACACUUAAAUAUGCAGUCUUUGCUGUAAACUAUAUUAAAAUACCAGUAUAAAUGUUUAAAAACCCUAUUCACAUAAGAGCAGUGAUUCAGCAGUCUGAAGUUUCUGUGUGUAUAACAUGGUUGCAAUCACUCAAUGGUAACACUCUAAUGAUGCAGAUAAAUUGUACUUGCUCAUCUCUCUGUAUAUACAUUUAUAUUUCUUCUCUGCUGUGCACAAUUUUAGCGCCCAAUUUAUCAACCUCAAUUACAGGGGUAGAACUUGAUCUUUUCCUGCAUCACUUCUGUAUGCAGCCAGAUGGGUGCAUUGGCUGCCAUGUUUUUUAAAAACUAAAAACACUCAGCAGCCCAUCUGGAAUCUUGGUUGGCGUUAGCUAAAGCCAGCAUCGAGCAGAGAUUCCAGAUAUGUGCCAGCAGCAACACAUUUCCCACUUCGAAUUAAAAAAAAAAAAAAAAAGUAAUUUUCAGUUCUUGAGUUAAAAGUUAAGACUGAAUCAAAAACUGUUAGUUCCAGAAAUACAAAUGCUUUCUGAAAUAUCUGAGGAUGUGCUGAAAACCCUGCAGCUACCACUGUUCUGAAGGUGUGCUCGUGCUGCACUUGAACUGGGUUGCAAGGUAU